rnacentral:rRNA from 1 species
CUGGCUCAGGAUGAACGCUGGCGGCGUGCCUAAUACAUGCAAGUCGUACGAGGGAAGUCCAGCUUGCUGGACGGAACGAGUGGCGAACGGGUGAGUAAUACGUAAGCAACCUGCCUGCAAGGACUGGGAUAACACCUGGAAACGGGCGCUAAUACCGGAUAGGUAACGGAGGGGCAUCCUUCUGUUAUUAAAGGUUAAAAACACAAGCAGAUGGGCUUACGGUGCAUUAGCUGGUUGGUGAGGUAACGGCCCACCAAGGCGAUGAUGCAUAGCCGGCCUGAGAGGGUGAACGGCCACAUUGGGACUGAGACACGGCCCAGACUCCUACGGGAGGCAGCAGUAGGGAAUUUUCGGCAAUGGACGCGAGUCUGACCGAGCAACGCCGCGUGAAGUGAAGAAGGUUUUCGGAUUGUAAAGCUCUGUUGUAAGGGAAGAACAGCACGGAGAGAAUCCGUGAAUGACGGUACCUUACCAGAAAGCCACGGCUAACUACGUGCCAGCAGCAGC